UACGAAGGGGGCUAGCGUUGUUCGGAAUUACUGGGCGUAAAGCGCGCGCAGGCGGCUAUCCAAGUCAGUGGUGAAAGCCCGGAGCUCAACUCCGGAACUGCCAUUGAAACUGUUUAGCUUGAGGACGAGAGAGGUGAGUGGAAUUCCCAGUGUAGAGGUGAAAUUCGUAGAUAUUGGGAAGAACACCGGUGGCGAAAGCGCUCUGCUGGACCACAACUGACACUCACAGGACGAAAGCUAGGGGAGCGAAUGGG
rnacentral:rRNA from 1 species